AUUGAACGCUGGCGGAAUGCUUUACACAUGCAAGUCGAACGGUAGAGGGGGCAACCCCUUGAGAGUGGCGAACGGGUGAGUAAUAUAUCGGAACGUGCCCAGUCGUGGGGGAUAACGUAGUGAAAAUUACGCUAAUACCGCAUACGAUCUAAGGAUGAAAGCGGGGGAUCGCAAGACCUCGCGCGACUGGAGCGGCCGAUAUCAGAUUAGGUAGUUGGUAGGGUAAAGGCCUACCAAGCCAACGAUCUGUAGCUGGUCUGAGAGGACGACCAGCCACACUGGAACUGAGACACGGUCCAGACUCCUACGGGAGGCAGCAGUGGGGAAUUUUGGACAAUGGGCGAAAGCCUGAUCCAGCCAUUCCGCGUGCAGGAUGAAGGCCCUCGGGUUGUAAACUGCUUUUGUACAGAACGAAAAGGUCUCUAUUAAUACUAGGGGCUCAUGACGGUACUGUAAGAAUAAGCACCGGCUAACUACGUGCCAGCAGCCGCGGUAAUACGUAGGGUGCAAGCGUUAAUCGGAAUUACUGGGCGUAAAGCGUGCGCAGGCGGUUAUAUAAGUCAGAUGUGAAAUCCCCGGGCUCAACCUGGGAACUGCAUUUGAGACUGUAUAGCUAGAGUACGGUAGAGGGGGAUGGAAUUCCGCGUGUAGCAGUGAAAUGCGUAGAUAUGCGGAGGAACACCGAUGGCGAAGGCA
rnacentral:rRNA from 1 species